UACGUAGGGUGCAAGCGUUGUCCGGAAUUAUUGGGCGUAAAGGAGCUACGUAGCGGUCUGUCGCGUCGGCUGUGAAAUCCCGAGGCUCAACCUCGGGUCUGCAGUCGAUACGGGCAAACUAGAGUAUUGCAGGGGAGACUGGAAUUCCUGGUGUAGCGGUGAAAUGCGCAGAUAUCAGGAGGAACACCGGUGGCGAAGGCGGGUCUCUGGGCAAUAACUGACGUGAGGAGCGAAAGCGUGGGGAGCGAACAGG
rnacentral:rRNA from 1 species